CCCGGGCCUUGUACACACCGCCCGUCACACCAUGGGAGUUGGGUUUACCCGAAGGCGUCGCGCUAACCGCAAGGAGGCAGGCGACCACGGUAGGAUUCGUGACUGGGGUG
rnacentral:rRNA from 1 species